rnacentral:lncRNA from 1 species
GAGAACUGUACUUUCCGAGGCGCCAAAUGGAAGUUUGGAGCGUAUUCUUCUAAAAAUGAAGUUUCAAACUAAGCUUAAUUAUAACGGCUUGACUGACACAACAGAAAAGCCAAAGUCGUAUUAACGGGAUUCAUAAAAAAAGAUGAUAAAACAUGGUAGUCCGUAGGUAAAUGCGGAGUCAAGACGAGCAACUAUACGAAGUAGUUGAAAAUAGAAAGCAGCGAAAAAUGGUUUUUCAUGACUGAUUCUUAGGGUUUUCUGCUGAAUUUAUUAGGAACAUUUAAGAGUUGUUAGGCUGCCAUCGAAAUGCUCCAUCUCCACGUAGCGAAUAGGAAAAUCACUGCAAAGUCACGAAAUAAAAUAUAAGAAAUAAAUGUGAUAAAAAAUUAUAAAGAAGAACAAAACUUGUCGCCUUGUAUUGCGAUUGUAAAAAUUUUGUUGUCUUUGUUCCUAUUCUUCAAAUAGUUUCACUCUUCCCAGCAGGGGCCACUGGUUCAUCAGCAUCUACUUUCUUUAUUUGCUUUAAUGUUUCCACUCCUUAGAGUAUUUUUCGGCUCGUUUCCUUAAUUUAAUUCGCCCGUUAACAGCUCUGUCUUGUUCAAAUUUUAGUACCACGACUUGAUUAGUAUUUGUGUUACCACCAUAAAAAUUUUACUGUGCAUUUAUUGCGGGUUGCAUUGUUUUCAGUAAGUAUAUUAACUGAAUCAAAUUACCAUGGGCGUUAAGUGAUUGUAAAGUGAUAGAAAUUUUGAUGCUUGGACCAGAGAUUAGUAGUAAUCUACUAAUCUCUGCUUGGACCAAACAAAAUAGUGGCUAUGACUUUCGCAAGUUUCCUCAAGUUUCUCCUGGUCUUUCAAUUAUUCCUUCAAAUAAGCCUCUCGACCGAGCCAGGCGAGUUAUCCGUUGCAAAACCGAGAUGGUACCAUCUUCGUUGUGUUGAAUGUUACCGGCCAGAUACCAAGGGACAAGCAUGUGUGAAGAUACCAAAGUGCAUCAAAGCUCCUAAAAAGAAAUUAAUAAAUCCGUUUCACCACUGGGCGUCUUAAGCUACAGAGUACAGAAGUGUGUACAUAUUUAGCGGCUCUCAGAUGCAAUUAGUUCUCACUUCCGGCGCGCGAUUCUCCUUUAACAAUUUGCAAAAAACCCGCCCAGAACUUUAAUACAACCUUAUUAUUCUUAA